rnacentral:rRNA from 1 species
UUACCUACGGGGGGCAGCAGUGAGGAAUAUUGGUCAAUGGCCGGAAGGCUGAACCAGCCAAGUCGCGUGAGGGAUGACGGCGCUACGGGUUGUAAACCUCUUUUGUCGGGGGGCAAAAAGAGUCCCGUGUGGCUCAUUGAGAGUACCCGAAGAAAAAGCAUCGGCUAACUCCGUGCCAGCAGCCGCGGUAAUACGGAGGAUGCGAGCGUUAUCCGGAUUUAUUGGGUUUAAAGGGUGCGCAGGCGGA